rnacentral:ncRNA from 1 species
AGUUCUUGUUGCCAUGUGCAGACGAAAUUUCAGUGAUAACAGCUGGGCCUAGGGGUCUGCAUCCUCAACCUAUGGGAUGUUGGCAUUCUACCCGAGAUGAUAUUGCGACGAGGGCGGGCAGUCACGUGUCGAUUGGGCUCGGGCGUAGAAUGUUCCCUCGCGGGGGAUUUUCCCUAGGCGGUGAACAGUUGACUCAGAAAUGGUAUGGACAAGGGGAAUCCGACUGUUUAAUUAAAACAAAGCAUUGCGAUGGUCCUUGCGGAUGAUGACACAAUGUGAUCUCUGCCCAGUUCUCUGAAUGUCAAAGUGAAGAAAUUCAACCAAGCGUGGGUAAACAAUGGGAGUAACUUUGACUCUCUUAAGGUAUCCAAAUGCCUUGUCAUCUAAUUAGUG